GCCAAGCUGUCCGUCCAGGAGCCCUACCGUGGUCAUGAUCAGGUUCGCACCGCCAAUGGAGCAGGAUCGGGACACGAGGGACGUGCUGCUUAGAGGCCGACUCCGCCACGGCCUAUAUGCGCUUGAUGCGCCCCAUGUGCUCACUUCGCCGCCUACUCCCUAGGUGUUCAGUGGCGUUCGCGUGUCGUCUUCGCAUUGGCAUGCGCGUCUUGGUCACCCUGCUGCCCCUAUAGUUCGGCAUGUUCUUCAUCGCCAUGAACUUCCAGUUGUGUCUAAUAAAAUAGCUGCCACCGUCUGUGAUGCCUGUCAGCAAGGCAAGAGUCAUCAGCUUCCGUUUUCAGAGUCGAGUCGUGUAGUGAAACAGCCUCUUGAGCUUGUGUUUUCUGAUGUAUGGGGGCCUGCCCAAACGUCUGUCAGUGGUCACAAUUAUUAUGUCAGUUUUA